rnacentral:rRNA from 1 species
UUUGGUCAUCAUUGCGAUGGAGAUACACCUGUUCCCAUGUCGAACACAGCAGUUAAGUCCAUCUACGGCGGAAGUACUUGGGGGUUGCCCCUGGGAGAUAGGCGAGUGGCCAAGU